rnacentral:rRNA from 1 species
UACGGAGGGUGCGAGCGUUGUCCGGAAUCAUUGGGCGUAAAGGGUGCGUAGGCGGUCGCGCAAGUCGGAUGUGAAAUCUCAGGGCUCAACCCUGAAACUGCAUUCGAUACUGCGUGGCUAGAGUGCUGGAGAGGAGACUGGAAUUUACGGUGUAGCAGUGAAAUGCGUAGAUAUCGUAAGGAAGACCAGUGGCGAAGGCGAGUCUCUGGACAGCAACUGACGCUGAGGCACGAAGGCCAGGGGAGCAAACGGG